rnacentral:rRNA from 1 species
CCUACGGGAGGCAGCAGUAAGGAAUAUUGGUCAAUGGACGAAAGUCUGAACCAGCCAUGCCGCGUGAAGGAUUAAGGCCCUCUGGGUUGUAAACUUCUUUUAUCUGGGACGAAAAAAGGGUAUUCUUACUCACUUGACGGUACCAGAGGAAUAAGCACCGGCUAACUCCGUGCCAGCAGCCGCGGUAAUACGGAGGGUGCAAGCGUUAUCCGGAUUUACUGGGUUUAAAGGGUGCGUAGGUGGGUUUGUAAGUCAGUGGUGAAAUCUCCGAGCUUAACUCGGAAACUGCCAUUGAUACUAUAGAUCUUGAAUUAUCUGGAGGUAAGCGGAAUAUGUCAUGUAGCGGUGAAAUGCUUAGAUAUGACAUAGAACACCAAUUGCGAAGGCAGCUUACUACGGAUAUAUUGACACUGAGGCACGAAAGCGUGGGGAUCAAACAGGAUUAGAUACCCUGGUAGUCCACGCCCUAAACGAUGGAUACUCGACAUCAGCGAUACACUGUUGGUGUCUGAGCGAAAGCAUUAAGUAUCCCACCUGGGAAGUACGAUCGCAAGAUUGAAACUUAAAUUGAAUUGACGG